rnacentral:rRNA from 1 species
AUACGUAGGGAGCGAGCGUUGUCCGGAAUUACUGGGUGUAAAGGGUGCGUAGGCGGGACUGCAAGUCAGAUGUGAAAUGCCGGGGCUCAACCCCGGAGCUGCAUUUGAAACUGUGGUUCUUGAGUGAGGUAGAGGUAAGCGGAAUUCCUAGUGUAGCGGUGAAAUGCGUAGAUAUUAGGAGGAACAUCGGUGGCGAAGGCGGCUUACUGGGCCUUUACUGACGCUGAGGCACGAAAGCGUGGGGAGCAAACAGGAUUAGAUACCCUGGUAGUCCACGCUGUAAACGAUGAUGACUAGGUGUGGGGGGACUGAACCCUUCCGUGCCGCAGUUAACACAAUAAGUAUUCCGCCUGGGGAGUACGGCCGCAAGGUUGAAACUCAAAUGAAUUGACGGGG